UUGAGUCGAUGUUUAUAGUCC
rnacentral:piRNA from 1 species